rnacentral:rRNA from 1 species
CCUACGGGGGGCAGCAGUAGGGAAUAUUGCUCAAUGGGGGAAACCCUGAAGCAGCACCGCCGCGUGGAGGAUGAAGGUUUUCGGAUUGUACACUCCUUUUGUUAGAGAAGAUAAUGACGGUAUCUAACGAAUAAGCACCGGCUAACUCCGUGCCAGCAGCCGCGGUAAUACGGAGGGUGCAAGCGUUACUCGGAAUCACUGGGCGGAAAGAGCGCGUAGGCGGGAUAGCAAGUCAGAUGUGAAAUCCUAUGGCUUAACCAUAGAACUGCAUUUGACACUGUUAUUCUAGAGUAUGGGAGAGGUAGGUGGAAUUCUUGGUGUAGGGGUAAAAUCCGUAGAGAUCAAGAGGAAUACUCAUUGCGAAGGCGACCUGCUAGAACAUAACUGACGCUGAUGCGCGAAAGCGUGGGGAGCAAACAGGAUUAGAUACCCGUGUAGUC